UAGGGAAUAUUGGACAAUGGGGGCAACCCUGAUCCAGCCAUGCCGCGUGAGUGAAGAAGGCCCUCGGGUUGUAAAGCUCUUUUGUCCGGAAAGAAAAGCAUUCGGUGAAUACCCGGAUGUUCUGACGGUACCGGAAGAAUAAGCACCGGCUAACUUCGUGCCAGCAGCCGCGGUAAUACGAAGGGUGCAAGCGUUACUCGGAAUUACUGGGCGUAAAGCGUGCGUAGGUGGUUGUUUAAGUCUGAUGUGAAAGCCCUGGGCUCAACCUGGGAAUGGCAUUGGAAACUGGGCAGCUAGAGUGCGGUAGGGGGUAGUGGAAUUCCCGGUGUAGCAGUGAAAUGCGUAGAGAUCGGGAGGAACAUCUGUGGCGAAGGCGACUGCCUGGACCAGCACUGACACUGAGGCACGAAAGCGUGGGGAGCAAACA
rnacentral:rRNA from 1 species